rnacentral:rRNA from 1 species
CCUACGGGUGACUGCAGUGGGGAAUUUUGGACAAUGGGCGCAAGCCUGAUCCAGCUAUUCCGCGUGUGGGAAGACGGCCCUACGGGUUGUAAACCUCUUUUGUCGGGGAGCAAAGAGAGUCACGCGUGACCUAAUGAGAGUACCCGAAGAAAAAGCAUCGGCUAACUCCGUGCCAGCAGCCGCGGUAAUACGGAGGAUGCGAGCGUUAUCCGGAUUUAUUGGGUUUAAAGGGUGCGCAGGCGGAGGUGCAAGUCAGCGGUCAAAUUUCGGGGCUCAACCCCGUACUGCCGUUGAAACUGCAUCCCUUGAGUGCGCGAGAAGUAUGCGGAAUGCGUGGUGUAGCGGUGAAAUGCAUAGAUAUCACGCAGAACUCCGAUUGCGAAGGCAGCAUACCGGCGCGCAACUGACGCUCAUGCACGAAAGCGUGGGUAUCGAACAGGAUUAGAUACCCUUGUAGUC